rnacentral:hammerhead_ribozyme from 1 species
CGGCGAAACGCACACGCCUGCCCGCGAGGUGGCCGGCGUGUGCGUCGCGGGGGAGUGGUGUCCCCCUCCUGACGAUGCCAGCCGCAU